CAAGUCGAGCGGUAAGGCCCUUCGGGGUACACGAGCGGCGAACGGGUGAGUAACACGUGGGUAAUCUGCCCUGCACUCUGGGAUAAGCCCGGGAAACUGGGUCUAAUACCGGAUAUGACUCCUCUCCGCAUGGUGGGGGGUGGAAAGUUCCGGCGGUGCAGGAUGAACCCGCGGCCUAUCAGCUUGUUGGUGGGGUAAUGGCCUACCAAGGCGACGACGGGUAGCCGGCCUGAGAGGGCGACCGGCCACACUGGGACUGAGACACGGCCCAGACUCCUACGGGAGGCAGCAGUGGGGAAUAUUGCGCAAUGGGCGAAAGCCUGACGCAGCGACGCCGCGUGAGGGAUGACGGCCUUCGGGUUGUAAACCUCUUUCAGCAGGGACGAAGCGCGAGUGACGGUACCUGCAGAAGAAGCACCGGCCAACUACGUGCCAGCAGCCGCGGUAAUACGUAGGGUGCGAGCGUUGUCCGGAAUUAUUGGGCGUAAAGAGCUCGUAGGCGGUUUGUUGCGUCGGCCGUGAAAACUCAGGGCUUAACUCUGAGCCUGCGGUCGAUACGGGCAGACUUGAGUUCGGUAGGGGAGACUGGAAUUCCUGGUGUAGCGGUGAAAUGCGCAGAUAUCAGGAGGAACACCGGUGGCGAAGGCGGGUCUCUGGGCCGAUACUGACGCUGAGGAGCGAAAGCGUGGGGAGCGAACAGGAUUAGAUACCCUGGUAGUCCACGCAGUAAACGUUGGGCGCUAGGUGUGGGGGACUUUCCACGUUCCUCCGUGCCGCAGCUAACGCAUUAAGCGCCCCGCCUGGGGAGUACGGCCGCCAAGG
rnacentral:rRNA from 1 species